rnacentral:rRNA from 1 species
GGAUCAUUGUCGAAAUCGAACGGAAGAACGACCCGCGAAUCGUCAUUGCGUAGUAGAUAGAGCCCGUGAGCACCUAACGCUCACGGGUCUCGCGUCGCGUCGGCGCGGGUGUACUCGAGACCCGCGUCGUACCGGCGGACAAACAACGUCAGCACGGAUCGUGCCAAGGAACUGCAUGGAGAGAAUCGUCGUCCCACGCCUUUGAUAGUCCUGGACGCGGGACGGGGGAUGUACGCAAUCUCUACUCAAGUCUAAACGACUCUCGGCAACGGAUAUCUCGGCUCUUGCAUCGAUGAAGAACGUAGCGAAAUGCGAUACUUGGUGUGAAUUGCAGAAUCCCGUGAACCAUCAAUUCUUUGAACGCAAGUUGCGCCCGAAGCCAUUCGGCCGAGGGCACGCCUGCCUGGGCGUCGUGAAUCCCCUUGCCCCUAGGCACCCGCAUGAGCAUUGGCGGGGAUAUAUGCUCGGGCGCAGAAUAUGGUCUCCCGUGGGAUCGGCAUGCCCGGCAUGCCGAGGUGCGGUUGGCCGAAAAUCGAGCAUGGCGGUGACGGGCACCACGGCGUUCGGUGGAUCGAACGAGAUUGGCUGCGUCGUGGGCUCGGCAUGCGGCGGGCUCCGGACUUUGAAUAUCCCCGAGUGCGAUCCCAGGUCAGGCGGGGCUACCCGCUGAGUUUAAGCAUAUCAAUAAGCGGAGGAAAAGAAACUAACGAGGAUUCCCUUAGUAGCGGC